rnacentral:rRNA from 1 species
UGACAAUUUUGACCACAAAUCAGGUAAGACUACCCGCUGAACUUAAGCAUAUCAAUAAGCGGAGGA